rnacentral:misc_RNA from 1 species
GAAGAAGGUUAUGCUACUCUUUGGAGUUGGUCAUGCUUCAGAGAAACAGCCAAGGUCCAAUGGUACAAAUAAUGGUGGGUCAACCCAAAGAGCUUCUGCUUUGGCUGCUUUAAACUCUGCAUUUAAUUCACCAUCUCCAGCAAAAUCUGGUUCUUCACCAAGGUCAGGGAGAAGUCCUGGUUCACAAAGAGCAGCUGCAAUAGC